rnacentral:rRNA from 1 species
AUUGAACGCUGGCGGCAUGCCUUACACAUGCAAGUCGAACGGUAACAGGUCUUCGGAUGCUGACGAGUGGCGAACGGGUGAGUAAUACAUCGGAGCGUGCCCGAGAGUGGGGGAUAACGAGGCGAAAGCUUUGCUAAUACCGCAUACGAUCUCAGGAUGAAAGCAGGGGACCGCAAGGCCUUGCGCUCACGGAGCGGCCGAUGGCAGAUUAGGUAGUUGGUGGGAUAAAAGCUUACCAAGCCGACGAUCUGUAGCUGGUCUGAGAGGACGACCAGCCACACUGGGACUGAGACACGGCCCAGACUCCUACGGGAGGCGGCAGUGGGGAAUUUUGGACAAUGGGCGCAAGCCUGAUCCAGCCAUGCCGCGUGCAGGAUGAAGGCCUUCGGGUUGUAAACUGCUUUUGUACGGAACGAAAAGACUCCUUCUAAUAAAGGGGGUUCAUGACGGUACCGUAAGAAUAAGCACCGGCUAACUACGUGCCAGCCGCCGCGGUAACAC